ACUCCUACGGGAGGCAGCAGUUAGGAAUAUUCGUCAAUGGGGGAAACCCUGAACGAGCAAUGCCGCGUGAGUGAAGAAGGUCCUAUGGAUUGUAAAACUCUGUUGUGAAGGAAGAAUGACUUCUAUAGGAAAUGAUAAAAGAGUGACGGUACUUCACCAGAAAGCCCCGGCUAACUACGUGCCAGCAGCCGCGGUAAUA
rnacentral:rRNA from 1 species